rnacentral:lncRNA from 1 species
AAAUUCUUGCCUAUGGUAGAGGUUUAUUUGAUAAGCUGUAUAGAUCACUCCACUUAUUUUACAAAUAUUUUCAAAGGUAGUGGUGAGACUUAUGUGGACCCCUUUCAAGGAAAGAAAAUUGAAUAUUUUUGAUGCAGCAUAGGGCGCAUCCAACAGGUACUAUGACCAACUAGACCAUGCCAAGCAUCACAGGAGCUAGCAGAUUACAAUUCAUACCUAUGCAAGAGAUUUACAAUUAUGAUUACAAAACCAUGCAUAUGACAAUUCACAUGAGAUAGAAUACAUGACACUUAACCAUUAUACUAUCAUUGCCUUCAAGUAAUUGGCAAACCUUAUCACACAUACCUUAAGUUGGCUCUAUGAAUUUAAGUACUGUCUAUUACAUCUGUUGCCCAAGGUGACAAGCCAAGAGGGGGGGUGAAUUGGUUUCUCUUAAUUUUUACUAUCUUACUUAUGUCAAUUGAUGAGUUAGUGAAAUAGAACAAAGCACAAUACAAACACACAGGAAGUAUAGUGGUUCGGUGCUCUCCUAAGCACCUACGUCCACUCCCCAAGCGACCCCUC